rnacentral:rRNA from 1 species
CAGCCGCCACGGGAAUACGUAGGUGGCAAGCGUUGUCCGGAAUUAUUGGGCAUAAAGGGCUCGCAGGCGGUUUCUUAAGUCUGAUGUGAAAGCCCCCGGCUCAACCGGGGAGGGUCAUUGGAAACUGGGAAACUUGAGUGCAGAAGAGGAGAGUGGAAUUCCACGUGUAGCGGUGAAAUGCGUAGAGAUGUGGAGGAACACCAGUGGCGAAGGCGACUCUCUGGUCUGUAACUGACGCUGAGGAGCGAAAGCGUGGGGAGCGAACAGGAUUAGAUACCCCAGUAGUCCCUGUCUCUUAUAC